UACGUAGGGUGCGAGCGUUUGUCCGGAAUUACUGGGCGUAAAGAGCUCGUAGGUGGUUUGUCGCGUUGUCCGUGAAAACUCACAACUCAAUUGUGGGCGUGCGGGCGAUACGGGCAGACUAGAGUACUGCAGGGGGAGACUGGAAUUCCUGGUGUAGCGGUGGAAUGCGCAGAUAUCAGGAGGAACACCGGUGGCGAAGGCGGGUCUCUGGGGCAGUAACUGACGCUGAGGAGCGAAAGCGUGGGGAGCGAACAGG
rnacentral:rRNA from 1 species